rnacentral:rRNA from 1 species
UACGUAGGGCGCAAGCGUUAUCCGGAAUUAUUGGGCGUAAAGGGCGCGUAGGCGGCUAGAUGUGUCAAAGGUGAAAUCCCUCGGCUCAACUGAGGAACUGCCUUUGAAACUGUCUGGCUUGAGGCCGGGAGAGGGUAGCGGAAUUCCCAGUGUAGCGGUGAAAUGCGUAGAGAUUGGGAAGAACACCGGUGGCGGAAGCGCUCUACUGGGCCUGCACUGACACUCAUGGACGAAAGCUAGGGGAGCGAAAGGG